GUUGAACGCUGGCGGCAUGCCUAACACAUGCAAGUCGAACGCGUGGCGGACGGGUGAGUAACGUCUGGGAAACUGCCUUAUGGAGGGGGAUAACUACUGGAACCGGUAGCUAAUCCCGCAUACCAUCGGAUGUGCCCAGGUGGGAUUAGCUAGUAGGUGGGGUAAAGGCUUACCUAGGCCACGAUCCAUAGCUGGUCUGAGAGGAUGACCGGCCACACUGGAACUGAGACACGGUCCAGACUCCUACGGGAGGCAGCAGUGGGGAAUAUUGCGCAAUGGGCGCAAGCCUGAUGCAGCCAUGCCGCGUGUAUGAAGAAGGCCUUCGGGUUGUAAAGUACUGUCAGCGGGGAGGCGGUACCCGAAGAAGAAGCAACGGCUAACUCCGUGCCAGCAGCCGCGGUAAUAC
rnacentral:rRNA from 1 species